rnacentral:rRNA from 1 species
UACGUAGGGGGCUAGCGUUGUCCGGAAUCAUUGGGCGUAAAGCGCGUGUAGGCGGUCCGGUAAGUCCGCUGUGAAAGUCGAGGGCUCAACCCUCGAAUGCCGGUGGAUACUGUCGGGCUUGAGUACGGGAGAGGCGAGUGGAAUUCCUGGUGUAGCGGUGAAAUGCGCAGAUAUCGGGAGGAACACCAAUGGCGAAGGCAGCUCACUGGGACGGCACUGACGCUGAGACGCGAAAGCGUGGGGAGCAAACAGG